rnacentral:rRNA from 1 species
UACGUAGGGGGCUAGCGUUGCUCGGAAUCACUGGGCGUAAAGGGCGCGUAGGCGGCGCAGCAAGUCAGGGGUGAAAUCCCGGGGCUCAACCCCGGAACUGCCCUUGAAACUGCAGUGCUAGAAUCUUGGAGAGGCGAGUGGAAUUCCGAGUGUAGAGGUGAAAUUCGUAGAUAUUCGGAAGAACACCAGUGGCGAAGGCGACUCGCUGGACAAGUAUUGACGCUGAGGUGCGAAAGCGUGGGGAGCAAACAGG